UAGGGGAAAGUCUUUCCACAAUGGGCGAAAGCCUGAUGGAGCAACGCCGCGUGUGUGAUGAAGGGUUCCGGCUCGUAAACACUGUUGUAAGAGAAGAAUGACAUUGAGAGUAACUGUUCAAUGUGUGACGGUAUCUUACCAGAAAGGAACGGCUAAAUACGUGCCAG
rnacentral:rRNA from 1 species